CUUGCCCAUCAGAGGUGGACCCACUCACCUGCCUGCUGAGGAUCCAGGCACCCAGCCUAUGUAGGCCCACAAGUUGCCUGAGGGCUUGCUGUUGGGUGAGCCCAAUCCCUGUGGCAGCUGCCUGUUCUAGCUGAGCUGGAUUAGAUCAAAGCUUUAGUGAGUGGGGCAGACCCUGGGCUAACAGGCCAGGGGAAAAACUCCAAUUGUUUCUGUCAGUAUCUAUGUCAGCAUGCUUGUAGCAUGUCACAGUAAUGACUGCUGCCAAUGUCUCAGUCCCUGGAGAGGUCUCACCUCUCACCAAGAUGCACCCAGAGCCUAUCAGGCAGACUGCCACACGCAGCACCUCAUUUGGACAUGUCUGGAGCUUUGGAAGUUUGGCUACCCUAUGCUCUACAAAUGGACCUUGAGAACUUAUUUGGACAUUCUAGCAAGAGAGAGCUCAGCUACUCAUAUACCCUACACUGAAGAAUGGUCCUCCUCUAUUGGGGAAAGUUGUCCUCUGAUGGAGUAUGCAGCUUCAGGAGGGACACCCAUGGAGUGUUGAGGGAGGAGGGGGACACCUCCCUCGCCAACCAGAUCAGCCAAGGCAACCCUGACAAUCAAUGGGGUGACAGAUGUCUCAGCCAGAUUGUCCUCACAUCCUCUUUUUAUUCUUAAAUUGCCUCUAACUGCAAUGCUUUUGAUCCUGGAAAUGGAUUAUGUACUAUGAAAGCCAUGAGAAGAUGCUGAAACAGAGAGGAAUUUGGUUUGCUGUUUGCUUAUUUUUUCCCCCAACAAAAAGCCCAGCUUUCCAGAAGGUCUUUAGAAAAUCAGUUUUUGUUUUAUUCCCCAUGACAAUCUUCUAAAAAGUCUUUUUAAAUCAAAGGAAAUAAAAGUGAGAGAAACCAAAGAAAAUAGGAAUUGUAAAUAAGAUGCUACUGCCUAAUAACCAAAUAGUAAAUAACGUUACAACACAGAAGAUUAAGGAGGUAAGAGCAGGAAUGUUUCCAAGUGUAGCUGAGUGGAGCCCACAGCGUGACCAACUUACUGACACACUUGUUUGCUCUGAGAAAACAAUUCACAGCACCACAAUUUGAAGUCGUACUAAAGAUGUAAAGGUAAAAACGACAGUCUCGGGGGCAUUAACUCUACGUGGACGUGUCUUUUCUUGGACUGAAACAUUUUUUUCAGUUUCUGGGUUUUGAUACAUGCAACAGAAAAACUGGAAAUUUGAUACAGAUUUGUUUCUUUCCAAGGGCAUUGUGUUAAUUAAAAUGCCAAUGCAGACGUCCAAUUUCUGCUCAGAGAUGUAGAGAGCAUGAAAGAGAGUCGUUCCCACACUUACAAUAAGAAAAUAGCAAGGCAAACUACAAAUUAAUGACUUAUAUUGGACCCAUUAGAGAACUGAGGUUGCAAGACAAACAAUUUACCUGCAAUGUGGAGAGAGACAGACGCUCGUUGGGAGAAA
rnacentral:lncRNA from 1 species